CACAACUCCGGUGGCACAAAUUCAAUGUUGUGGACAAUUGCAGAUGAACAGGAAUGUGACACCUCUUUGAUCAGAAGAGCAACAGAUACUUUGAGAACAUCAGGAGGGAAUCUAAGUUGUCAGAAGACAAAGUGGAAGAGGAUCGGAGGGCCAAAGCUCUCAACAACCGAAGACAUAGACUUUUCAAUUCACGCCGAUCUGCUGCUCGCUCAUCUUAACCAAUGAGGAGUACAGAUACCU